rnacentral:rRNA from 1 species
UACGUAGGGUGCAAGCGUUAAUCGGAAUUACUGGGCGUAAAGCGUGCGCAGGCGGUUAUGUAAGACAGUUGUGAAAUCCCCGGGCUCAACCUGGGAACUGCAUCUGUGACUGCAUAGCUAGAGUACGGUAGAGGGGGAUGGAACUCCGCGUGUAGCAGUGAAAUGCGUAGAUAUGCGGAGGAACACCGAUGGCGAAGGCAAUCCCCUGGACCUGUACUGACGCUCAUGCACGAAAGCGUGGGGAGCAAACAGG